rnacentral:rRNA from 1 species
CACGGGGGGAGCAAGCGUUGUUCGGAAUCACUGGGCGUAAAGGGCGUGUAGGUGGUUUCGUAAGUCUGGCGUGAAAUUUUUCGGCUUAACCGGGAAAGGUCGUCGGAUACUGCGGGACUGGAGGACGGUAGAGGCGUGUGGAAUUCCGGGUGUAGUGGUGAAAUGCGUAGAGAUCCGGAGGAACACCAGUGGCGAAGGCGACACGCUGGGCCGUACCUGACACUGAUGCGCGACAGCAUGGGGAGCAAACAGG